AUGGUGGUCAUCGACGCGGUGUUCGUCGACGCGGGGUCCAAGCUGGGCAUGGCACUGCCCGACCAAGCCCCCGGGCUGGUGAUGCCCUUGAAGAUGAAGACAGAGGUGGCUACGGUUCAAACAUGCACGCGAGCGUCAAAUAGGAACAACCCAGUGGCAGCACCGACAGAGGAGGAGGAGCCGUCGAGGAGAAGGGGAUGCUGCCGGAGGAGGGAGGAGGGGAUGCUGUGGAGCGGGAGCGGGUGGCAGGGCUGCGGGCGCGCAAGGACUGGCGCCUCCCGCCCAGGCGCUUCGUCGGCGCCGUCAGGGCCUCCGAGGAGGAGAAGAAGGAGCACGCCCAGGAGAAGAAGGAGCAAGCCCAGGAGAAAAACAACGAGCAGGAGAAGAGGGGAGCAAGCCCAACUUAAACUAUUGUUGUUUAUGUUGUUACACGCUUGUUGA
rnacentral:rRNA from 1 species